GAAUGCCCUUCCACGAAGCACAUGACCCAUAAUCCGAAGUCCCAUCCUGAGUCUAUUUUUCUUCUCAAGUUCUGCAGAACAUCGCAAUUUGAAAAAGAUUUCUGGAGUCUAAAAGCCCGCCGCGGCUUGGAGAGCCAUUAGUCACCCCAAAGCCUUCGCUCCUCGCCCAACUUCGCUGUCCAGAAGCAGGGACGGCCCACGAGGGAGCAAAGGAGCGGUUCCUGCGUCCAAUUAAAGCCACCAACAUGGCUGCUCCCAGCGGGAGCACCUUCAGGGCGCAGAGCAACUUGCUGUUGCAGAGUAACGUCCUGGUCCCGUGCGUUCUUAACCGCCCUUUGCAAAGAAAAAGAGGACUCCGGCUCCCCUGCCGAGCCACCGCUGCGCUUUGCGCAACCACCGGAGCAGAGCGCUUCCUCCCGGGCGGUUGCCUCGGCUGCCCAGGCUGAGUGCUGCAGGGCCAAGACGCCCGGCCAGGCUGGCUCUGCAGUCGUCCUAGCGCCGGCACGGGGAGCUCCACACUGAAAAUGCAGUUCCGCUUUCUCUAAGCGAAAUAGCCUCAGAAACUGACCACCUCAGCCCGAGCCUGAACUUCCCCUGAAAUCUCAAACCCCGUGCAAAAGGGACCUAAGUGACAGAGGACUCUUAAGAUGAUUAUGGAAUUACACUACAGAACAUUUGGGGAUGAUUGUCCUGCUUUCUUCACCUGCUUUAUUCAAAUCGCCAGGUGCUGUACUGCUGAGCUGAAUCCCUAGAUCAACACAUGUUCUUCAUGAUGUAGUAGUUCCUGUCCAUUCUCAAGUUUAUUGCUUCAGCUAACUCAAACUUUCUAUACUGGCCACAUAUCAAAUCAAUUUCAGUCUUCCAAAUUAAUCCCAAUCUCUCCUUUGCACUGUAGU